CUGCUCGUUUCAGUAGCACAUAUACUAAAAUUGAAGAGAAGCCAAGAAGGUAAGCCUGGCCCGUGUCCAAAGAUGACACCCAAAUGGGUGAAAGCAUUCUGUAUUUUU
ensembl:snRNA U6 U6 spliceosomal RNA